GCCUGGGUGGCUCAGUGGUUGAGCAUCUGUCUUCUACUUAGGGCAUGAUCCCAGAUCCUGGGAUCAAGUCCCACAUCGGGCU
rfam:Canis lupus familiaris chromosome 16, whole genome shotgun sequence.